rnacentral:rRNA from 1 species
AUUAUGGAGAGUUUGAUCCUGGCUCAGGACGAACGCUGGCGGCGUGCCUAAUACAUGCAAGUCGAGCGGAGUUAUUUAGGAGCUUGCUCCUGAAUGACUUAGCGGCGGACGGGUG